UACGGAGGUGGCAAGCGUUGCUCGGAAUCACUGGGCGUAAAGGGCGCGUAGGCGGCGCGGUAAGUCACUUGUGAAAUCUCUGAGCUUAACUCAGAACGGCCAAGUGAUACUGCAGUGCUAGAGUGCAGAAGGGGCAAUCGGAAUUCUUGGUGUAGCGGUGAAAUGCGUAGAUAUCAAGAGGAACACCUGAGGUGAAGACGGGUUGCUAGGCUGACACUGACGCUGAGGCGCGAAAGCCAGGGGAGCAAACGGG
rnacentral:rRNA from 1 species